rnacentral:rRNA from 1 species
GACGAACGCUGGCGGCGUGCUUAACACAUGCAAGUCGAACGGUGAAGCCCUUCGGGGUGGAUCAGUUGCGAACGGGUGAGUAACACGUGAGCAACCUGCCCCUGGCUCUGGGACAACCACUGGAAACGGUGGCUAAUACCGGAUACGACCCGCCUCGGCAUCGAGUGUGGGUGGAAAGUUUUUCGGCUGGGGAUGGGCUCGCGGCCUAUCAGCUUGUUGGUGAGGUGAAGGCUCACCAAGGCGACGACGGGUAGCCGGCCUGAGAGGGCGACCGGCCACACUGGGACUGAGACACGGCCCAGACUCCUACGGGAAGCAGCAGUGGGGAAUAUUGCACAAUGGGCGAAAGCCUGAUGCAGCGACGCCGCGUGAGGGAUGACGGCCUUCGGGUUGUAAACCUCUUUCAGCUCCGAAGAAGCGAAAGUGACGGUAGGAGCAGAAGAAGCACCGGCUAACUACGUG